CGUUCAGUCAUUCUAUGCAUACGUGCUAUACCGGUUUGCAUAGAUUGUCCGAACA
rnacentral:pre_miRNA from 1 species